rnacentral:rRNA from 1 species
GGAUGAACGCNGGCGGCGUGCCUAAUACAUGCAAGUCGAGCGAACUGAUUAGAAGCUUGCUUCUAUGACGUUAGCGGCGGACGGGUGAGUAACACGUGGGCAACCUGCCUGUAAGACUGGGAUAACUUCGGGAAACCGAAGCUAAUACCGGAUAGGAUCUUCUCCUUCAUGGGAGAUGAUUGAAAGAUGGUUUCGGCUAUCACUUACAGAUGGGCCCGCGGUGCAUUAGCUAGUUGGUGAGGUAACGGCUCACCAAGGCAACGAUGCAUAGCCGACCUGAGAGGGUGAUCGGCCACACUGGGACUGAGACACGGCCCAGACUCCUACGGGAGGCAGCAGUAGGGAAUCUUCCGCAAUGGACGAAAGUCUGACGGAGCAACGCCGCGUGAGUGAUGAAGGCUUUCGGGUCGUAAAACUCUGUUGUUAGGGAAGAACAAGUACGAGAGUAACUGCUCGUACCUGACGGUACCUAACC